CAAGGAGUAAUGCUGCUUUUCACACAGAAAGGGCUUCUACUGUGCCUGACCUUAAGACAGGAAAAGUAGGGGAGCUAAGGAAGCUACCUACACCGCCCUCACCCCCAGUAGCCAGGCUCAGGAAGGAAGAGGCACAGCGGUGUGAAUGGAUGGAGAAGAGGAGGCUGGUAGGCUGAGCCCCUGGCUCCUGGAACGAACACACAGCCAUGGCAGAGGAGAAUGUGGCUUGAAUAGGUUCCAUGACUUGUACAAGACCACAGCUGGUACAUGAUGAAGCAAGGACAAGACACGGGCAUCUGACCUCAAGAGUCUCUCCAAUCAUGAAAUACCUGUAUGAGUUAUCUAUUGCUGCAUAACAAAUUGCCCCAAUAUUUAGCAGCUUAGGAGCAGGAUUGCUGGAAUGGUGGGAUAAAACUUAGUGGCUUAAAACAACA
rnacentral:lncRNA from 10 species